AGUGAACGCUGGCGGUAGGCCUAACACAUGCAAGUCGAACGGCAGCACAGUAAGAGCUUGCUCUUACGGGUGGCGAGUGGCGGACGGGUGAGGAAUACAUCGGAAUCUACUUUUUCGUGGGGGAUAACGUAGGGAAACUUACGCUAAUACCGCAUACGACCUACGGGUGAAAGCAGGGGAUCUUCGGACCUUGCGCGAUUGAAUGAGCCGAUGUCGGAUUAGCUAGUCGGCGGGGUAAAGGCCCACCAAGGCGACGAUCCGUAGCUGGUCUGAGAGGAUGAUCAGCCACACUGGAACUGAGACGCGGUCCAGACUCCUACGGGAGGCAGCAGUGGGGAAUAUUGGACAAUGGGCGCAAGCCUGAUCCAGCCAUACCGCGUGGGUGAAGAAGGCCUUCGGGUUGUAAAGCCCUUUUGUUGGGAAAGAAAAGCAGCAGGUUAAUACCCCGCUGUUCUGACGGUACCCAAAGAAUAAGCACCGGCUAACUUCGUG
rnacentral:rRNA from 1 species